rnacentral:rRNA from 1 species
UACAGAGGGUGCGAGCGUUGUCCGGAAUCACUGGGCGUAAAGGGCGCGUAGGCGGCUUGAUAAGCGUGCGGUGAAAGCCCGGGGCUCAACCCCGGGUCGGCCGUGCGAACUGUCGAGCUGGAGCACUGUAGAGGCAGGUGGAAUUCCGGGUGUAGCGGUGGAAUGCGUAGAGAUCCGGAAGAACACCGGUGGCGAAGGCGGCCUGCUGGGCAGAUACUGACGCUGAGGUGCGAAAGCGUGGGGAGCAAACAGG